UGCUCAGGACGAACGCUGGCGGCGUGCCUAAUACAUGCAAGUCGAGCGAAUCUAUAGGAGCUUGCUCCUGUUGAUUAGCGGCGGACGGGUGAGUAACACGUGGGCCACCUGCCUGUAAGACUGGGAUAACUUCGGGAAACCGGAGCUAAUACCGGAUAAUUCUUUUCCUCUCAUGAGGAAAAGCUGAAAGACGGUUUAGGCUGUCACUUACAGAUGGGCCCGCGGCGCAUUAGCUAGUUGGUGAGGUAACGGCUCACCAAGGCGACGAUGCGUAGCCGACCUGAGAGGGUGAUCGGCCACACUGGGACUGAGACACGGCCCAGACUCCUACGGGAGGCAGCAGUAGGGAAUCUUCCACAAUGGACGAAAGUCUGAUGGAGCAACGCCGCGUGAGCGAUGAAGGCCUUCGGGUCGUAAAGCUCUGUUGUUAGGGAAGAACAAGUACCGGAGUAACUGCCGGUACUUGACGGUACCUAACCAGAAAGCCACGGCUA
rnacentral:rRNA from 1 species